GUGUCACUACCAUUGAAGAACUGAAUUUUUAGAUGAAGUAGUAUCUUUUUUUUCAAGGUUUAAUUUUUUUUUUUCCUUGUUCAUAGGUGCUCUACCAUGUUUACUGGAUUUCAGGUUUCAGAAAAAAGUGGAGUGUUAAGAGAAGGGAGACUUCUGCCAAACCAGUGUUUUUCCUGUUUUGAAAGGACAACACAAUAUUACUGAAAGCUUAUGGGAAGAUAUAUGUUCUAAAUCAUCUGAAGUUUUCCUAAGGGGUGAAUUAUUAGGAGUCCUAGGAUACCAACAGACCUCCUCCAUUUUGUGUGCGCUUGUAGUAAACGGUAACUGGAGAAAAGGGUCAGGAAUGCUUGUCCUUCUUCAGGUAUGUGUCA